rnacentral:lncRNA from 1 species
UGUCGUAUGUGGGUGUUUUUCUCUUCCAAAAGUUUCAAACUGCCAGCUCUCCCACCUAAAGGCACCUGGUGGAAAAACAUGUCCUCACACUCAGUGGACUUCCCUGGAGAGCAGGGACCAGCUCACUUGGUCUUUAGAGGCUUGGCAGAAAUUUUCCCUCAUGGUCUCCAGCCCCCACCUCCUAACACACAUAUCACCAAAGCCAGAGGGACAGCACUGACCCCUCAAAGCACCGUAACUCGUCCCUUUCAAGACUGUCGCUGAGGGAUGGAGCACUGAGACUUUUCACCAAGCGACCCUGCCUUCUCUAAUUUGAUUUUCUGGAUCCCAGACUUUCAUCUUCUGAAUCGCUGCUUAUCCCGGGUACCGGGGUGAUCAGCUCCCCAACAAUUGUUUGGUUGAUUGUGGCUCAAGAUUUAAAUUUUCGUCUCAAAGAAGAAUUUAAAUCUCUUAAUUCUCCAAAACUCACCUACCCUCCACCCACUGGGCACCUCCCUCCCUCCCUGGCUUCCCCGCCUGCCUGCCCGGUGCAUAAGGUCUUCUUGCCUUUGACAUCACUCAACUCUUUGAAUAAAAGAGGUUGGAAUUUUGUUA